rnacentral:lncRNA from 1 species
GCUAUAUUAAGCAUUGAUCAUGGGCUCUGGAGUUUGGUUCAAGAAUAUAAUGAGCAAAAAGAAAGUGAGAGGUGACAAAUCACAAAAAUUGACGGUUUGCUGCUCUUAAAUAUUCUUAAUUCCCUUAGUCUUGGCAGUCUUAGACAUGAUAUAUAAUUUUAUAUAAAUUUUUGUUUCAGGCUCGUGAGUUGUGACGAGAUCAUUCUCAAGGGUGUAAUUCCAUAAUUAUCGUCUAAAUUCCACUUCUUAGGUAAGCAAUGGCUUGCCCUAACUUGUUAUUGAAGAUAUUGGAAAUAUUUGAAACCUUGUCGACAUAUAUAAUUGCAGCCUUGUCGGCUUAUAUGAUUGGUUAUUGUGGAAUGAACAAUUGCACAAGCGCACAUAGUAACUGUAUUAGAAAUUGUAAUUGUGUGAUGAUUGAGAUAUUUUGUAAUUGUUUUUUAGGUUAAUCAUUGGACAUUAGGUACAUACUCAUACAUUAUGCCUCCUAAAUAUGAGUCUGGUACUCAAAAGAGGAAAAUGAAACGAAAUAUAGCGUUUGAAACACAUUAGACUCAUAUACUAUGCCUCUCUUGAAUAGUAUUCAACUAAUUGUUUGAAACAUUGUUGGUUUUGAUGGUUUAUAAUAUAAAUCGUUUCUAUAAUAUAUUUGGUUGUUGGUUUAAUGUUAGUUUUUUAAGUUAGCAAUAGGUCGCAUAAUACAGCGUUGAAUUUUGUAUUUACAUUGCUUUCGUUGGG